AGUGAACGCUGGCGGUAGGCCUAACACAUGCAAGUCGAACGGCAGCACAGGAGAGCUUGCUCUCUGGGUGGCGAGUGGCGGACGGGUGAGGAAUACAUCGGAAUCUACUCUGUCGUGGGGGAUAACGUAGGGAAACUUACGCUAAUACCGCAUACGACCUACGGGGGAAAGCAGGGGACUCUCGGGCCUUGCGCGAUUGAAUGAGCCGAUGUCGGAUUAGCUAGUUGGCGGGGUAAAGGCCCACCAAGGAGACGAUCCGUAGCUGGUCUGAGAGGAUGAUCAGCCACACUGGAACUGAGACACGGUCCAGACUCCUACGGGAGGCAGCAGUGGGGAAUAUUGGACAAUGGGCGCAAGCCUGAUCCAGCCAUACCGCGUGGGUGAAGAAGGCCUUCGGGUUGUAAAGCCCUUUUGUUGGGAAAGAAAUCCAGCUGGCUAAUACCCGGUUGGGAUGACGGUACCCAAAGAAUAAGCACCGGCUAACUUCGUGCCAGCCGCCGCCGUAA
rnacentral:rRNA from 1 species